rnacentral:lncRNA from 1 species
AGCAAAGCUUUCCGAAGCAAUGUUCCAUAUUAGAAGAGAAACAACUGAAUUCAGAACAGAUUCCUGGGAACUUCUUGUGCAAAGGAAGUUUGCUUUGAAAAGUAAUUGGACAGAUGAUCCAAACAAUGUUUAACAGGGAAAGAAGCAUGAAGAGAUCUGGGAGAAUAAAAUAUUUAUUAUCACUAGAAUCGCUAUCAAGCCGCCACCAAAGCCACCCUAAGUGAAGUAUUCAUCAAAUUACUAAUCAGAAAAAAUAAUGUGUUUGCCUGUGUGUUUACAACCCCCAGCUUAACUGAUGGAAGAAAGAAGUACAAGUAUUCUACAUUCGGCUAUUCUACCACCCAACCAUGCAUCCCGUUUUUAUAAAAUCAAUAGAAAGUAAGAAAGUAGCGGUUCGUCUUUGUU